rnacentral:rRNA from 1 species
GACGUAGGGCGCGAGCGUUGUCCGGAUUUAUUGGGCGUAAAGAGCUCGUAGGCGGCUUGUCGCGUCGACUGUGAAAACCCACGGCUUAACUGUGGGCUUGCAGUCGAUACGGGCAGGCUCGAGCUCGGUAGGGGAGACUGGAAUUCCUGGUGUAGCGGUGAAAUGCGCAGAUAUCAGGAGGAACACCGGUGGCGAAGGCGGGUCUCUGGACAUUUCCUGACGCUGAGGCACGAAAGCCAGGGGAGCAAACGGG